AUUGAACGCUGGCGGCAUGCCUAACACAUGCAAGUCGAGCGCAUGAACGCAGCUUUCUCCUGGAUUCAGCGUCGGGCGGGUGUGUAAUUCACAGGAAUCUGCCUGGCAUUGGGGGAUAACAUCCCGAAACGAGCGCUAAUACCGCAUACGUCCAGAGGGAGAAACAUGGGGGUCUUCGGACCUCGCGCUAUCAGCUGAGACUAGGUCGGGUCAGCUAGUUGGUGUGGUAAGGUCCUACCAAGGCGACGAUCCGUAACUGAGCUGAGGGGAUGAUCUGGCACAGUGGGAGUGAGACACGGUCCAGACUCCUACGGGAGGCAGCAGUGGGGAAUAUUGGAAGAUGGGCGAAAGACUGAUCAAGCGACGCCGCGUGGGUGAAGAGGGGCUUCGGAUGGUAAAACGGUUUUAGUUGGGAGGAAGGGCAGUAAGAUAAAAGAUGGCUGUAUUGACGGUACCAACAGAAGAAGCGCCGGCUAACUACGUG
rnacentral:rRNA from 1 species